rnacentral:rRNA from 1 species
UACGAAGGGGGCGAGCGUUAUUCGGAAUCACUGGGCGUAAAGCGUGCGUAGGCGGUUAUAAAAGUUAGGAGUGAAAGCCCCAGGCUCAACUUGGGAAUUGCUCUUAAUACUGUAUAACUCGAAUUUGGGAGAGGAUAGCGGAAUUGUCAGUGUAGCAGUGAAAUGCGUAGAUAUUGACAGGAACACCAGUGGCGUAAGCGGCUAUCUGGACCAACAUUGACGCUGAGGCACGAAAGCGUGGGGAUCAAACAGG